rnacentral:rRNA from 1 species
AUUGAACGCUGGCGGCAUGCUUUACACAUGCGAGUCGAACGGUAACAGGCCGCAAGGUGCUGACGAGUGGCGAACGGGUGAGUAAUGCAUCGGAACGUGCCCAGUCGUGGGGGAUAACUACUCGAAAGAGUAGCUAAUACCGCAUACGAUCUAUGGAUGAAAGCGGGGGACCGUAAGGCCUCGCGCGAUUGGAGCGGCCGAUGUCAGAUUAGGUAGUUGGUGGGGUAAAGGCUCACCAAGCCAACGAUCUGUAGCUGGUCUGAGAGGACGACCAGCCACACUGGGACUGAGACACGGCCCAGACUCCUACGGGAGGCAGCAGUGGGGAAUUUUGGACAAUGGGCGCAAGCCUGAUCCAGCAAUGCCGCGUGCAGGAAGAAGGCCUUCGGGUUGUAAACUGCUUUUGUACGGAACGAAACGGCUCUGGUUAAUACCCGGGGCUAAUGACGGCACCGUAAGAAUAAGCACCGGCUAACUACGUG